rnacentral:rRNA from 1 species
GACAGAGGUGCCAAGCGUUAGGCGGAAUCACUGGGCUUAAAGCGUGUGUAGGCGGAUGCCUAAGUACCUUGUGAAAUCCCACGGCUCAACCGUGGAACUGCUGGGUAUACUGGGUGUCUUGGGUCAUCUAGGGGCUGCCGGAACAAAUGGUGGAGCGGUGAAAUGCGUUGAUAUCGGAAGGAACGCCGGUGGCGAAAGCGCACAACUGGUCCUCUUCUGACGCUGAGGCGCGAAAGCCAGGGGAGCAAACGGG